AGUCUACGGGAGGCAGCAGUGGGGGAUAUUGCACAAUGGGCGGAAGCCUGAUGCAGCGACGUCGCGUGAGGGAUGGAGGCCUUCGGGUUGUGAACCUCUUUCGCCGGUGAAGAAGGUCCUGCUUUUUGGGUGGGGUUGACGGUAGCCGGGUUAUGAAGCGCCGGCUAACUACGUGCCAGCAGCCGCGGUAAUGACU
rnacentral:rRNA from 1 species